AUGGUAUAUGUGACGCACAUCCCUACAGGGGACCGCAAGCGUGUGUUACGGGACGCCGGCGCCAUAGAGCCAGCCGCCCCAAAAUUAAGCCAAUGGGCGGCCCGCCCGAUCACUUUUGAUCGCAAGGACCACCCAGCCAGUAUCCUUCACGAAGGUUUGGCAGCUCUCAUCCUUGAUCCAAUUAUCGAUGGGUUCCAUCUCACGAAAGUCCUUAUGGAUAGCGGCAGUAGCCUUAAUCUACUCUACCAAGACAUUGUCCGCAAAAUGGGCAUUGAUCCUUCAAGAAUCAGGCCCACCAUAAUUACCUUCAAGCGAACAAUAUCCGGCGUAGAAGCUCACUGCACGAGCUCGAUUAUAUUGGAAGUCGUUUUCAGCUUGCAAGGCUUGACCUUCGAUAUUGUCCCGCUCCGUAGUAGCUUCCAUGCACUACUCAGGCGCAUCGCUUUUGCUCGCUUUAAUGCGGUCCCACAUUACACCUAUCUCCAACUUAAGAUGCCCGGUCCACGCGGCACCAUCACAAAAAACGGAAAUAUGGAAUGCUCCCUCCGUACAGAGGAGCAUACUACGGCUAUUGCGGCCGAAGUACAAAGCGGCCUUAUCAAGUCGCACAUUUCGUCGGCCAUCAAGCCGCCGGUCUCCAUUAGACAGGACCAAUCAAUCUCAGAGCUGGAUUAG
rnacentral:rRNA from 1 species